UGGGGAAUAUUGCACAAUGGACGGAAGUCUGAUGCAGCAACGCCGCGUGCGGGAUGACGGCCUUCGGGUUGUAAACCGCUUUUUCUCAUGACGAAGUUUUUUGACGGUAGUGGGGGAAGAAGCACCGGCUAACUACGUGCCAGCAGCCGCGGUGAUACGUAGGGUGCGAGCGUUGUCCGGAAUUAUUGGGCGUAAAGAGCUUGUAGGCGGUUUGUCGCGUCGAUAAUGCAAACUCAGUGCUUAACGCUGAGCCUGCUGUUGAUACGGGCAGACUAGAGGAAGGUAGGGGAGAAUGGAAUUCCCGGUGGAGCGGUGGAAUGCGCAGAUAUCGGGAGGAACACCGGUGGCGAAGGCGGUUCUCUGGGCCUUUCCUGACGCUGAGAAGCGAAAGCGUGGGGAGCGAACAGG
rnacentral:rRNA from 1 species